rnacentral:tRNA from 2 species
GGGGAGAUGCCCGAGCGGUCAAAGGGAGCAGACUGUAAAUCUGCCGGCUGAUGCCUACGCAGGUUCGAAUCCUGCUCUCCCCACCA